rnacentral:rRNA from 1 species
AACGAACGCUGGCGGCAUGCCUAACACAUGCAAGUCGAACGAGACCUUCGGGUCUAGUGGCGCACGGGUGCGUAACGCGUGGGAACCUGCCCUUAGGUUCGGAAUAACUCCCCGAAAGGGGUGCUAAUACCGGAUAAUGUCUUCGGACCAAAGAUUUAUCGCCUUUGGAUGGGCCCGCGUUGGAUUAGCUAGUUGGUAGGGUAAAAGCCUACCAAGGCGACGAUCCAUAGCUGGUCUGAGAGGACGAUCAGCCACACUGGGACUGAGACACGGCCCAGACUCCUACGGGAGGCAGCAGUGGGGAAUAUUGGACGAUGGGCGAAAGCCUGAUCCAGCAAUGCCGCGUGAGUGAUGAAGGCCUUAGGGUUGUAAAGCUCUUUUACCCGGGAUGAUAAUGACAGUACCGGGAGAAUAAGCUCCGGCUAACUCCGUG